UGGCGAACGGGUGAGUAACGCGUGAGGAACCUGCCUCAAAGAGGGGGACAACAGUUGGAAACGACUGCUAAUACCGCAUAAGCCCACGGGUCGGCAUCGACCUGAGGGAAAAGGAGCAAUCCGCUUUGAGAUGGCCUCGCGUCCGAUUAGCUAGUUGGUGAGGUAACGGCCCACCAAGGCAACGAUCGGUAGCCGGACUGAGAGGUUGACGGCCACAUUGGGACUGAGACACGGCCCAG
rnacentral:rRNA from 1 species